rnacentral:rRNA from 1 species
AACGAACGCUGGCGGCAUGCCUAACACAUGCGAGUCGAACGAGACCUUCGGGUCUAGUGGCGCACGGGUGCGUAACGCGUGGGAACCUGCCCUUAGGUUCGGAAUAACUCCCCGAAAGGGGUGCUAAUACCGGAUAAUGUCUUCGGACCAAAGAUUUAUCGCCUUUGGAUGGGCCCGCGUUGGAUUAGCUAGUUGGUAGGGUAAAAGCCUACCAAGGCGACGAUCCAUAGCUGGUCUGAGAGGAUGAUCAGCCACACUGGGACUGAGACACGGCCCAGACUCCUACGGGAGGCAGCAGGGGGGUAUAUUGGACAAUGGGCGAAAGCCUGAUCCAGCAAUGCCGCGUGAGUGAUGAAGGCCUUAGGGUUGUAAAGCUCUUUUACCCGGGAUGAUAAUGACAGUACCGGGAGAAUAAGCUCCGGCUAACUCCGUG